AGCAGCCGCGGUAAUUCCAGCUCCAAUAGCGUAUAUUAAAGUUGUUGCAGUUAAAAAGCUCGUAGUUGAACUUCGGGGUUUACCCAUCGGUCAGGCUUAAUUGUCUGUACUGGUGAGAUAAAUCUCUACCUUCUGAGGAACUUUCAUGCCAUUUAUUUGGUGUGAUUGGAAAUCAGGACUAUUACUUUGAAAAAUUAGAGUGUUUAAGGCAGGCUAACGUCUGAAUAUAUUAGCAUGGAAUAAUGAAAUAGGACGGCUUGGUUCUAUUUCGUUGGUUUCUAGGAUCACCGUAAUGAUUAAUAGGGAUAGUUGGGGGCAUUAGUAUUCAAUUGUCAGAGGUGAAAUUCUUGGAUUUAUUGAAGACUAACUACUGCGAAAGCAUUUGCCAAGGAUGUUUUCAUUAAUCAAGAACGAAAGUUAGGGGAUUGAAGACGAUCAGAUACCGUCGUA
rnacentral:rRNA from 1 species